AUGACGCAUAUGCACCAGCUAGUGUUGCCUUCUCGCACAUCUCGCCCCCUUAUUUCUCUUGUGCAAUCGCCUCCUCUUAUACUGCCUCCUCCACACCGUCAGUUCUGUUCACCUCCGGCUCUUCCGCCGUUGGGUAGGCAAAGAUGUCUUCUACCGUGACUGGUCAAACGAUCCCGAAGCUGUUUCCCAAGGCGUUCCACAGCUGGGUUGGAACAGGGCGCAUCUUCAACUUUCUCGCCCCGUACGAACAAAACCGCGUCAUCGCGUACCUCAACUCCAUCUACAACACCGCCCCCUUGUUCAAGUGGUCGCUCUCGAUUGUCCCCCUUUACGGCAUCGUCUCCGGAUAUCCGCCGGUGGAGAAGAUCGACUUCAACUCGAGCGCUGCCCUCUGCGCUACUGGUAUGGUGUGGUUCGUCUACGCCCUACUCAUUCAGCCCCAGAACUCUGGAAGCCGCUCGCUGGCGUUGGUGAACAUCUGCUUGGCCACAGUUAACGGCUACAACUGUUACCGUAGCGCGCAACACAAGCACAGCCAGGCGGUCAAGGCCAAACGCAUCGAAUGAGCCGGCGCCGUUGCAGAGGCUUGCAUGCAGGCCUCGUCGUGAGUCCUAAACGCGCUUGUCUGUGAUGUCCGAGCAACUCCGGUGGACAAGACGUGCAUCCGUCCUGCAUGUUCCCAUGGAGCAUGUUCUUGGCCACGGGCAUACAUCGGCUCCCCUCCCGCUCGCCUCCUGUGCGACAUUUUUGUUGGGCAUGUCUGCAUAAUGGGCCGCCGCGUGCAAAGCGACCCGGUUGAGAGGGUGGCAGCCGGAGCACGGCUGACGGAGAGCAGAGUUGUCCCGUCUUUCUGUUCUCUCCAGCAACGUGUCGCGGCUCCAACGCAUUGAGUUCUGCGGUCGUUCACCGCCUCCCAGGCGACGCCGAAGGCGCACACAACGACACAGCACGCAUGUUUUCUCUUUUCCUUCUUCCACGUGUCCACUCUACCGUUGAGCCUGAGCGUAACCAAACCCUGCCCAUCGCCCCCUUUAGCGGUGGGAAGUAGCGGCAGGCAGGCGUUACAGCAACUCAGUGCCUCAAUCAUCGGAAUGCAGCCUGUGCCUCAAGCUCUACCACCUCUUCCGUGCAUCACAGCCGCUCCUCCCAUCAUGCCCGUCGCCACGCGGUGCAUCCCCAUCGGGGCGGCUCCGGCUUCCCACCACCAAGAGGCGGUGCGGGGGCCUUGCAAGAUGCGUUUCGGCCAGGUUGACACUUUGCCCAUGAUGUGUGCAUGCGACAAGCGUGUUCACUGAGACACGUCGCUUUUAGGCUGCGCCGUCCAGGUCCUCACGGUCGACAUGAGCAUCGGUGAAUUGUCCUCGCUUCCCCAUGCCAUAGGCACUUGACCUCUUCACCACCAGAAGUGGUUCGGCAUUUUUCAGAGAUAAAGUGUGGGUGGUGGCGGCUGCCUUCCCCCUCCCCCCCCCCCACGCACACACACACACACAGAGAGAGAGAGUAGGGUACUAGACCCUGGAUACCACGCGCUGAGGUAUCCCUCAUUGUGUGGGGAACAAAAAUGUGAAAAGGCGCGAGGACAAAACGAAUCCUGGCGGCCACUAUUGUGAUCUUCGCCUUG
rnacentral:misc_RNA from 1 species